rnacentral:tmRNA from 2 species
GGGGGUGUUCCGGAAUUCGACUUUAGACCGUAGAUUAUGCCGGCAUGCCGGAGACGACACUUGGCUCCGUAAAAAUGUGUCAUCAAAAAUAUAAAUGGCGAAGAAUACGCUAUUGCUGCUUAAUUAACGCGGCACGUCAGCCCGCAGACACCCGAUAAGCGGAAUCUGGCGUCGACAUCGGGAAAGGAUGCUCAAUUAAAUUCCGGGGGUUGUGCAUUCUAAUUACUCGGAGUUGCCGACGCAGAGGAAGUCCGCACCCAACCGCGUCGAAAGCCCAAUGCGAGACUAAGCAUGUAGAAAGUAUAACCGAAAGCCUCUAGGACGCGGGUUCAACUCCCGCCACCUCCACCA